rnacentral:lncRNA from 1 species
AAAAUAGUACCAAGUCUGCAUUUAAUAGAAGGACUUACUUUUUAUUGAUGUCAGGGUGAGCCAGGCCCUUCAGGACUGGCAGGUUUGCCUGGUCUUCCAGGAGAAGAUGGAGCCCCUGGACAAAAGGGUGAACCAGGGUUACCUGGUCUUAGGGGUCCUGAAGGUGCUCCAGGGAUUGGAAUACAGGGGGAAAAGGGAGAUCAAGGUCAGAGAGGAAUACGUGGAUUAACCGGACCAACAGGAGUGCCUGGACCUGCUGG